CAUACAGAAGGAGGAGAAAACAGAGUGUGUAUCCUUCACAUGUGUGAGCAGUAUCUUCUCUCUGGCUCUUCAGGGUCUCAGCAAGCCAUUUCCCCAUAGUAUAAUAAUUUCGGUGAAGGAUCUAAAACCUGAAAAGAGGCCAAAUGAUUCCUCAAAACCACGCAAGUACGAAGUAGCAGAGCGGAUCUCAAAUCCAGAGCACUGCGUGUUUUGAAAUAUACAAAUAGUGGGAAACGAAAUCUUUGUUCUGGAUGCAGUUAUAAUUUGGAAAGCGAGGAAAUAAAUUAUAACAAGGGGAAAAAACAGACACAGAGGGAUUGAAAUGCAUAACAAUAGAGAUGAAACACGAAGAGUGAUAAAUGAAGAUUGAGUGUGCACACCUUCUGGAGGAGCCCUGAUUGAGUAUUUUAACACAGAAGUGGGUGAGAGCAAAGUUGUGUCAGAGUAAGACAAUGACACCAAGCCAGAUGGUUAUCAAAAUCCACAGGAACAAAUGAAGAGAACCAGAAAUUGCAAAUAAGAAGGACAGAGUACCAGAGAGGAGAGAGAGGUACAGAGAAUUAUGGAGGUGGCUUCCGUUGAGUAUGCAGCUAAGUAAUGAUUAAUGCAUACAUAUAAGAAACUACUGGAUGACAGAGAAAGAACCACAAGCAAUUUAAAGAAUACUACUAAAGUCAUGCCGUGUGACUUCUGAAGCUAGCUCCUAAGAAGUCCUUGCAGCUUCUGCCUGCGACUCUUAGAACACUUGCUUUGAAGGAUGCCAGAUGCUGUCUUAAAAGUCUGAGCACUCUGAAACCAUCAUGCUGUGAGGAAGCCCAAGCUAACCACAUGGGCAAAAAAGAUGCCCUCUGACUGCCACCAUUUGAGACACUCUAAUUAAGAACUGCCUCAUUGAGCCCAUGAGGCCCUGUGAAUGAUAAUAAUAAAUUGUUUUUAACCACUAUGUUUUUGGAUUUGUUAUAAGUUUAUAGAUAACAAGAAAAAGUUAUAUUAGCAUGGUAAUAAAAUUAUGGAUAUGUGUAA
rnacentral:lncRNA from 1 species